AGCCAGGAGUGGGGGCACGGGGUGAGCGGGGAAGCUGGGCCUUCCGGAAGGAGAGUGAGGACAGACUCCGAAGGCUCUGAGGAGAGGCAUGAGUACACCGGGAGGAGCGUGAACAGGGGUGCAGUGGGAGGUGGUCCUCUCUCUUCUUCCUUGGAAUGGACCAGCAGCUGCUUCUAGGAGGACCCGGUUAGCAAAGACCCUGAGUCCUCUGUGUCCUGCCGAUGCCCAGAUGGACCAACACACGUCUGUACGGCCACCUCUUCCCAGGCCACAGCAAGCAAAGCCACCACAGUGAAAGAGCAGCUGCUCAGCUGGUACUGAGUGGCUUUAAAGUUUCCCACCUCUGGAGCAGGAUGAGCC
rnacentral:lncRNA from 1 species